AAAUGACGUGUUUGUAUCCGGUUUGUAUUUUGUCAACAUUCUAACAACCAUGGCUUUUGAUAAUUAAGAAUUGUAUUUCUGAUUUUAAUGUUGCUUUUAAACGACCGUGUACGGCGCUGGCUAUAGAUGGCGCCAUACUGGUGUACCUGUCUUCUGUGGGGAAUAUGUGUAUUAAUUCUCACCUGUAUAAAAGAUAUUGAUGCUGCACAGUGUAGUGUAACGAAGAACAAGUAUGCUUAUUGUCAUUAUGGUUGUUGUGGAGAACUUAACAAAUAUGUACCCUGUUGUGAAGAAAAUUCCAGUUCAUCUUCAAUCCCAUCAAGUACAUCAAUUGCUAUAAUAGUUUCCAUCGUAACGACAGCAUGUUUAGUUAUAAUCACGAUGCUUGUUGUAUGUUGCUGUGUGUGUAAAAAACGUUUAAAAAAACGUUACCUGGCCCGAAACGCAACAAUAAAGUACACACCUGAUGGAAAUCUGCUCCCCGUAAUAUCUGGUUUUCCACUCACACCAGUUUUCCCACAAGGAUUGGGUUCCCCAACAAGAUCAGUGACUCCACAAGAAUGCACUGCACCGAUACCAAAUGAACCAGAAGAUUUACCACCAACAUAUUCUUCACUUUUCUCUGUCCGAUAUUGAUACCAUAAAAAAAUGUUCUUGUUUAUAAUUUAUUCUAACGACACCUUGCCGGAUUAAGAUAUUUAGUCGGUAGAAUAUUAACAGGGAAAAUGAUACGAUAAGUUAUACAAAUAAUGUUACCAGUAAUAUAAGAUUUAAUAACUAUAUAAGUAAUGUUACCAGUAACAUGAUCAGCUAAGCAAGUAAUGUUACCAGUAAUAUGAUCAGCUAAGCAAGUAAUGUUACCAGAAUUAAGAUUAACUAUGUAAGUAAUGUUACCAGUAUUAAGAUUAACUAUGUAAGUAACGUUACCAGUAUUAAGAUGAGAUUAACUAUGUAAGUAAUGUUACCUGUAUUAAGAUAAGAUUAACUAUGUAAGUAAUGUUACCAGUAAUAUGACACGAUUAACUAUGUAAGUAAUAAUUUUUAAGAGGCAUUUAGUAACUGGGUAGAGCAUUACACAAAAAACACAUACUUAUGGAAAAACAGCUACUUAUUUAUUUGGGCGACGUUUCGAAGAGUAUUCUCUCAACGUUAUCAAGCUAAUACAGUAAUACAAGAAUAAUGAGAUCAAUAUAUACAGAAAACUGUAACAACAAUUCAUGAAACCAUACAGGACAACAACAGGAUCAAAGGGGUUUAUUCUACAAAAACUAAUUAAGUGUGAAGAGUAGCCAUUGUGUGUGUUGGGCCACAGAAGACUCCUAACCCCAACAGGCAUCCAGGUAACAUUUUCCAAAGGAAGAACUCUCAAAGAUCUCCUGAAGGCCAGUGGCAAACUUCCCCCAACCAAACAACUGAACCCAAAAGAAUGUGUUUAUGAAAUAACCUGCACGUGUGACAAAAAAUACAUCGGAGAAACUAGACAGCCUUUAGACAAGAGAAUCAGUCAGCAUAAAUCUAAAUCCUCUACUACCAAUUCAGCUGUGGCCCAACACACCAAUCCAACCCAGGACACGGAAUUAAAACGUAUAGAACCCUGGCGGCCAACCUACCGAUAGAAAAAACCCGCAAAAUUAUUGAGGCCAUACACAUUAAAAGAAACAGUCCAGACCUCAACCGCGACACAGGGAUAUUCCUGCCUAGUGCUUAUGAUGAACUUAUUAAAUAUACCUAAAUUAUGUGUUUUCCAUCACCCCCACUCAUUCUACAGUACAGUGGAUAAGAAACCUUUGAAUUUUUAUGAGUUUUAUUAUUUUUCAUUUUUCUAAUAUUAUUAUCAAUUUAUCAGUUAUAUCCACUCUAUUUCUUAGAAUUAUUACACAUAUGGGUUACUCUAGUCUAAUUGUACAUUUAAUCACACAGACAUAUAAAGUUAAUUACCAUUAUCUAAACAAACCAUGGUAUAUCAUAAUUGUAUUGUAGGUACUAUCCCAUUCUGCCGGUAGUAUUGUAUCUAUCAUCAUAGCUACCUAAUUGCUUAACUAUACUCAAUGGCUACUCUUCACACUUAAUUAGUUUUUGUAGAAUAAACCCCUUUGAUCUUGUUGUUGUCCUGUAUGGUUUCAUGAAUUGUUGUUACAGUUUUAUGUAUAUAUUGAUCUCAUUAUUCUUGUAUUACUGUAUUAGCUUGAUAACGUUGAGAGAAUACUCUUCGAAACGUCGCCCAAAUAAAUAAGUAGCUGUUUUUCCAUAAGUAUGUGUUUUUUGUGUAUGUAAGUAAUGUUACCAGUAUUUAGAUUCGCUAUCUAAGUUUUGCUACCAGUAAUAUGAUAAAAUUAGUUAUAUAAGUAAUGUUACCAGUCAUAUGAUCAUUGAGAUAGUAGGACGUUAAGACCCAUUUUAAUUCAUUUCAUUUCAUUUCGAAUGGAUUGUAUUGAAACUGAUUCGAACUGAUUUAAACCAGUAAAAGAGUAAAAUGAAUUGAUAAACUAGAUUUGAAGACUUAAAUUGGGAAUCAGGAAGUUUGUCAAACUUCAUUCUGAAAUAUCGGCUUAUAAACCGUACGUCAAUUAUUGUUUCUCUCGAAGGAAUAACCAUCUGUAUUAUCUGAUUAAAACACAGAUCCUAUUUCGUUUCGUUUUUUAUAGUGCAAAAUUUCGUUUUACUUGUCUUUACUACACUAGGAUCUGGAAGAGUCGUUAUAUGACCGCAUUCUGGAUGAUGUGAGGGAUUAGCCAAAGAAACGAGUUUUUGGCGUGAGGUGCACGGAACUGUGGGUAAACCACUUGAAACGUCAACGCUGAUUGAUUAAUCAAUGUCUGACGUCAUAAGGUCAAUAGACGCUCGUAUGACACCUGACGCGACCUUCUUUUACAACUGGUCAGUUCUUCAUGUAGUGUUGGCCAUCGAAAGUAUGAAAAAAACAAAACGAAAUAUAAAUUUGUAUUUUAAUCAGAUUGUAUUAAUAGCUUUAUUUUGAGAUUAAGUGGGUAAGACACUUGUUCGUUAACCAGGAAGUCCGAGGCUCGAUCCCGUUGUUGGUCGAGAUAGUUCCCCUGGAUUGUGCAGUCCGGUUUCCACUUGACAGUUGUGCAGGACAGAGGGACUGGCAAGUCAAAAGCGGUUGGUUCAAAGUUAUAAUAUUUUAUACACGAGUAUACAUCUAGAAUGUUGUCGAAACUUAUAGACUUAUUUUUUGAUACGCAUUAGAUUAAAUAAAGGUAAUAUUUUCAUA